UGGAAUCUGGUUGGGUGAAAUGAAGUGAACAUGGGCGUCGAUUGCUCCAGCUGUAAGGAUCAUGCCCUCCCCGGCGAUGAUCUCUGUCGACACCCCGACUUCCAUUCCAGGGGUGACCCCAUCCAUGACACCUGAAUUCCCAGACUUGCCGAUGCCCGUAAUGCGUCCAUCUCGGAUGGCAACGUCUGCUUUGACGAUGCCAGUGUAAUCUACAAUGACUACGUUCGUGAUCACAACGUCAGGAGUACCCUGCCCUCUAGUAGCUGUAGGAGACUGACCCAUCCCAUCUCGC
rnacentral:sRNA from 1 species